rnacentral:rRNA from 1 species
AACGAACGCUGGCGGCAGGCUUAACACAUGCAAGUCGAGCGCCCCGCAAGGGGAGCGGCAGACGGGUGAGUAACACGUGGGAAUCUACCCAUCCCUACGGAACAACUCCGGGAAACUGGAGCUAAUACCGUAUACGCCCUUUGGGGGAAAGAUUUAUCGGGGAUGGAUGAGCCCGCGUUGGAUUAGCUAGUUGGUGGGGUAAAGGCCUACCAAGGCGACGAUCCAUAGCUGGUCUGAGAGGAUGAUCAGCCACAUUGGGACUGAGACACGGCCCAAACUCCUACGGGAGGCAGCAGUGGGGAAUAUUGGACAAUGGGCGCAAGCCUGAUCCAGCCAUGCCGCGUGAAUGAUGAAGGCCUUAGGGUUGUAAAGUUCUUUCACCGAUGAAGAUAAUGACGGUAGUCGGAGAAGAAGCCCCGGCUAACUUCGUGCCAGCAGCCGCCGUAA